rnacentral:rRNA from 1 species
UACAUAGGGGGCAAGCGUUGUUCGGAAUUACUGGGCGUAAAGGGCGCGUAGGCGGCCUGUUAAGUCGACCGUGAAAUCCCCGGGCUCAACCCGGGAACUGCGUCCGAUACUGGCUGGCUUGAAUCCGGGAGAGGGAUGCGGAAUUCCAGGUGUAGCGGUGAAAUGCGUAGAUAUCUGGAGGAACACCGGUGGCGAAGGCGGCAUCCUGGACCGGUAUUGACGCUGAGGCGCGAAAGCCAGGGGAGCAAACGGG